rnacentral:rRNA from 1 species
UCGACGAGACCUUCGGGUCUAGUGGCGCACGGGUGCGUAACGCGUGGGAGUCUGCCCUUGGGUUCGGAAUAACAGUUAGAAAUGACUGCUAAUACCGGAUGAUGACUUCGGUCCAAAGAUUUAUCGCCCAGGGAUGAGCCCGCGUAGGAUUAGCUUGUUGGUGAGGUAAAAGCUCACCAAGGCGACGAUCCUUAGCUGAUCUGAGAGGAUGAUCAGCCACACUGGGACUGAGACACGGCCCAGACUCCUACGGGAGGCAGCAGUGGGGAAUAUUGGACAAUGGGCGAAAGCCUGAUCCAGCAAUGCCGCGUGAGUGAUGAAGGCCUUAGGGUUGUAAAGCUCUUUUACCCGGGAUGAUAAUGACAGUACCGGGAGAAUAAGCCCCGGCUAACUCCGUGCCAGCAGCCGCGGUAAUACGGAGGGGGCUAGCGUUGUUCGGAAUUACUGGGCGUAAAGCGCACGUAGGCGGCUUUGUAAGUUAGAGGUGAAAGCCCAGGGCUCAACCCUGGAAUUGCCUUUAAGACUGCAUCACUUGAACAUCGGAGAGGUAAGUGGAAUUCCGAGUGUAGAGGUGAAAUUCGUAGAUAUUCGGAAGAACACCAGUGGCGAAGGC